UUCACAUAAAUAUUAUGCACAAGACAAAGAGAGAGAGAGAGAUACUUUUAGCGGAAGAAAGCAAGCUGGUUUUUAGCCAAGGAAUUUAGAAGUGUGGAACUUGCAUUCAUAUUUAUUUCGAUUCUUGAAAUAACAAGGUAAGCUAUUUUAUGUGCAAGUGCUUUUGUUUCCUUAUAUUUUUAUAUACAAUUAAAUAUGCAUGAAUUUCCAGUGGACAUUCAUUUUUUAAAAGAUAUGAAAUCUUACGGGAUUAUAAGAGGACCUAAGAUGGGUGUGUCGUUUGAUCACCGAUAUACUCCAUAAGAGCAUAGUAGUAUAAAAUCUAGAUUUUAUUGUUAUAUAUCUAUAUAUGGAAACAACACGUAUCUUACUGAGUGUUUUCAAAUACUCACUCUUACAAAUUUUUAUAGGUUAGUUCGGAUCGAUUGGAACGGUGGCGAAAUGGUGAUGUGGACUGCCAAGUGGAUCAAAGGAAAAGGAAAAGAAAUAAGUUUGUCGUUUUUAAAUUUACCAAUUAGUUUAAUUUUGCUCAGAACAUGUUAUUUGAAUUAGUUAGGAGUUUAUGUUAUCUUUAGAUACGAUUUCCAUGAUUUAAAUUUAAAUUUUUAAAUGUUACAGUUACUUGUUUAAUGAAGAAUUUUAUUUUUAUAGUUCUACACUUAAAAUAAAGAAAAG
rnacentral:lncRNA from 1 species